UCGGCGCACCCACCUCGCUCGAGGUUGGGCGAGCGCGGAAGUAGAGUUCGGGACGGCGGAUCGGAAUCCAUCGACCGAUUCUCUCUUUCUCUCCUCUCCCUUGGAUUCCUGUAGGCGGUGGAUCAAUCUUGCCUUCGUGGUGGCGGCAGAACGAGCGCCGUGAGAUCAGGUGGACCUGCUUCUGAUUCCUCCUGGUGCUUGGGACGUUUUCGGCUGGAUUGAUUUACUAGCUACGUCCAAGCAGGCCACUGGAUUGAUUUCAUGAGGCUUACUAGCUACGUCCCAAUCAAGAUAGCUAGACUUACUAGCUACGUCCCAAGCAGGCCAAUCCAAUAUGUUGAUCAAUUUGAUUGUUCUGGCUGGAGGUCAGGAGGUCAGAAGGUGCGUCCUUCACACUAAAUCGUACCCGAAGUUCUACAAUUAGUGCACUGCGGGAGCGUGUACUGUGACUAUUUCUGCACUGCCGAGGAAGGCUUGAUCUUUCCCAUAGGUCCACCUUCUUUACCUUUCCGUUCUUUGAACUGGAUAAGUUCUGAUAUUCUAACAUUGAUGGAAAAUCAUUAUCUUCUAUAAAGCCACAUUUCAUUUUAUGAUUUUUAGCAGAAGCUCGCUUCGAGGUCUUGGUGUGGGGCUGCUGGGGAAGGGAAUGUCCUUCUACUUAGUGAAAGUCGUUGUUGCUGAGGCUGAUUUUACCUUCUUUCUAAGUGUUCUAUUUUAUUAGUGCAAUUGGUUCGAGUUAAACUAACAUCCAUCGUACAAAUAUUUGUGGGACAUAUUCAGAAAUCUGGAAAGAAGCGAGGAUUCUCAAGUAAGAUAAGUCUGCUUACAAAAAUUUGCCUACUGGAAAGUAGAUAAGAGACUCAUGAAGUAAGAAUACAUGCCUACAUAUUAUACAUAGCAGGCUUCUGACUUCUCUGAUUCUGCAAGCCUUGAGGCUGUGAAACAUCUAUGCUAGGUCGCCACACUUCUGCCACCUUCAUUUGAUGAGGUUCAGCGUUCACUACUAUGAAAGAAGAAUGGCAGUAGAAUGGCAGUGAGAACGAGUAAAAAUCUAGAACAGUAUGACUGUAUGGUUCUCACUCAAAGUAGAGGCCCAACAAACUUUUUUGAAGUAGGAGUCGAAAACUACAAAUCCAUCUAUUCCUAGAAUGGAGCUGGUUGGAGUUGAGCCUACAAUUGGGCGGGUAGUUCGGUGGCACCGACAUCCAGCUGAAAGUUUUAUAGGAGGGUUAGUAAAGCAAAUUUGUUCAUGAGGAAAUGUGCCAGCAAAACAUUGAGUCAGAGUGCAAGACAAAUGCUCUUAACAGUUUUUUUGUCGCUUUUCUUUAAUUACAAUUAUUAUUAUUUUUAGUUGGCAUUGAUGUACAAAAGAAAAUCCUGUGCCUUUUUUGUCCUCUCAUUGACCAUUGUAUUUUUGAGUCAUAUCAGUCUAUGUAAAAGAAUUCAGUACCUUAUGUUUUGUAUAUUUGGAAAUGUCUAAA